CUAUUACUCCCUCCGUCCGGAAAUACUUGUCGAAGAAAGGAUCAAAAUGAUUAUAUCUAGAACUAAAAUAAGUCUAGAUACAUUCAUUUCUAUGACAAGUAUUUACGGACGGAGGGAGUAUUAU
rfam:Triticum aestivum genome assembly, contig: Triticum_aestivum_CS42_TGACv1_scaffold_405461_5BL